rnacentral:rRNA from 10 species
AAAUUGAAGAGUUUGAUCAUGGCUCAGAUUGAACGCUGGCGGCAGGCCUAACACAUGCAAGUCGAACGGUAACAGGAAGCAGCUUGCUGCUUUGCUGACGAGUGGCGGACGGGUGAGUAAUGUCUGGGAAACUGCCUGAUGGAGGGGGAUAACUACUGGAAACGGUGG